CGUUCUUCCGCCUAUCCUUGAGACCUAUUAUCAACAAUGUCAGGUGACUGACCUUAGGGGUUGGCUAUUAUAGAACAUCCGGAACCAACCACUUCCUUUUGCCUUUCUCACCUCAUCUGAGGCCAAAGCGGUAGAGCUCAUCUCAGCUUAAUUACGGGAGACAGUGUAGUUCCAAUUCGUCACAUUUUCGUGAAGGUGCUUCACGUUCCUGAAGAUUGCGGUGGAUCUCUCCUCAUAUAUAUCUUGGAGUGUCGUUGGAACACACGUUGCGUUAGCGUGAGCUGAGAUCGGUCGGAUGACGAGGCUCAGGUAUAAACACCGAUGCUGAUUCAGGGCUCUGUGCAGGACACUUGAGUUCUUCUUAACACACCAUGCCUUCAUGGAGCUCGCUUUGUGCACAGGGGCAUUGUCAUGCUGGAACAGGUUUGGGCCUCUUAGUUCCAGUGAAGGGAAAUUGUAAUUCUACAGCUUACAAAGACAUUCUAUACAAUUGUGUACUUAUAACUUUUUGGCAACAGUUUGGCGAGGAAUCACUUAUGGGUGUGAUGGUCAGGUGUGAUGGCCAUCUUCCUUUCUUAUGUGGACUGAUGCAUGUAUUUCUGCAUACUUGUUUUUUUUUCUGAAAUAAAUGUCCAAAACUCCAGUGAGAAAUGGAUAAUUAAUGUUAUGUAUUCAUUAAAUGCCACUACACUCCACUAUGCUCCAUUAAACUUCACUAGCCUCC
ensembl:lncRNA